AGCAGCUUCACUCACUGCCAGUAUCUUUGACGGACGGGUGGGCACCAACGAGCUCCUCAAUUUCUACUAAAUUCCAGGCAUUUCGACUGAGAAGAAUGGAGGAGCGGAUUCAAGAGCUUCUUCAUGUGGACAAUGAGGUCGAGCUACAGAUGUGAAACGUGGCCACAAACAGCUUGAGGAACUUCCACAAUAAAGUGAAAUUCAGUUACAAUAUGUGGAGGCAGGAGGUCCACCACACAAAUACAGACACCACACUGAAGCUCACGAAGGAUCAGAUAAUAAUGCAAAGUGUAUGCCACCAUUGCGUGUUCCUAGGACGAGUCCGACUUGUAUGGGUCGCUCAUGAAGUGCAUAAUGGAAAGCGAAGCUUCUAUUGGGGAUGCAUAUAUGGACAAUGAGCUGGAUUCAAGCGCUUUAGAGAUAGCAAAAGCAAGUCCGCGGAGCUCAAUAUUGACAUAGUCAAGAACCAAAACAUGUUCCUGAUUCAGCAUGCUGCAAAGACGGUUCCCAUG